rnacentral:rRNA from 1 species
GUGAGGAAUCUUCCACAAUGGGCGAAAGCCUGAUGGAGCAACGCCGCGUGAAGGAUGAAGGCCUUCGGGUUGUAAACUUCUUUUGGAGGGGACGAAUAAAUUGACGGUACCCUCAGAAAAAGCCACGGCUAACUACGUGCCAGCAGCCGCGGUAAUACGUAGGUCCCAAGCGUUGUUCGGAAUCACUGGGCGUAAAGGGUGCGUAGGCGGUAUAGUAAGACUUGGGUGAAAUCUCCAUGCUUAACGUGGAGGGAGCCUGGGAGACUGCUGUGCUAGAGGAUUGGAAGGGAGACUGGAAUUCUUGGAGUAGCAGUGAAAUGCGUAGAUAUCAAGAGGAACACCAGUGGCGAAGGCGAGUCUCUGGACAAGACCUGACGCUGAGGCACGAAGGCCAGGGGAUCAAACGGGAUUAGAUACCCGUGUAGUCC